AUGAUGCUCCCUCCGUCCAACAAAUGAUGUCUCAAAUUUGUCAAAAUUUGGAUGUAUGUAGGCAUGACUUAAUGUAUAGAUAUAUUUAAAUUUAAUCAAAAUUGAGACAUUUUUUAUUGGACGGAUGUAUGGU
rnacentral:pre_miRNA from 1 species